rnacentral:rRNA from 1 species
GACGAACGCUGGCGGCAUGCCUAACACAUGCAAGUCGAACGGAGAAUUCCUUCGGGAAUUCUUAGUGGCGAACGGGUGAGUAACGCGUAGGCAACCUGCCCUUUGGAUGGGGACAACAUUCCGAAAGGAGUGCUAAUACCGAAUGUGACGAUUUUACCGCAUGGUUUAAUCGUGAAAGAUGGCCUCUACAUGUAAGCUAUCGCCAAAGGAUGGGCCUGCGUCUGAUUAGCUAGUUGGUGGGGUAACGGCUCACCAAGGUGACGAUCAGUAGCCGGUCUGAGAGGAUGAACGGCCACAUUGGGACUGAGAUACGGCCCAGACUCCUACGGGAGGCAGCAGUGGGGAAUAUUGGGGCAAUGGGGGAAACCCUGACCCAGCAACGCCGCGUGAAGGAAGAAGGGCCCUUCGGGUUGGUUAAACUUCUUUUACCUAGGACGAAGAACGUAGACGGUACCU